rnacentral:rRNA from 1 species
GACGAACGCUGGCGGCGUGCUUAACACAUGCAAGUCGAACGGAAAGGCCCUGCUUUUGUGGGGUGCUCGAGUGGCGAACGGGUGAGUAACACGUGAGUAACCUGCCCUUGACUUUGGGAUAACUUCAGGAAACUGGGGCUAAUACCGGAUAGGAGCUCCUGCUGCAUGGUGGGGGUUGGAAAGUUUCGGCGGUUGGGGAUGGACUCGCGGCUUAUCAGCUUGUUGGUGGGGUAGUGGCUUACCAAGGCUUUGACGGGUAGCCGGCCUGUGAGGGUGACCGGCCACCUUGGGACUGAGAUACGGCCCAGACUGCUACGGGAGGCAGCAGUGGGGAAUAUUGCACAAUGGGCGGAAGCCUGAUGCAGCAACGCCGCGUGCGGGAUGACGGCCUUCGGGUUGUAAACCGCUUUCGCCUGUGACGAAGCGUGAGUGACGGUAAUGGGUAAAGAAGCACCGGCUAACUACGUG